ensembl:lncRNA
GGGGACUGCCAGGGGCUGGGAGGAGGGAGAAAGGCAGAGAUAUUGGUCAAGGGGUGCAAAGUUUCAAUUAUACCCGAUGAAUAAGUGCUGGAGAUCUAACACUCAGCAUGGUGAUGAUAAUUAACAACACUGCAUCAUAUACUCAUUUGGUUAAAAGGGUAGAUCUUAUGUGAAAUGUUCUUAUCAUCAAAAAUAAAAAUCAUAAAGAUGGCAGGUGAAAACUCCUGGAGGUGAUGGCUAUGUUUAUGGCAUAGAUCGUGGUGAUGGUUUCCUGGGUGUCUACUCAUUGUCAAACUCAUCAAGUAGUAGACACUAAAUACAUACAGCUUUUUGUAAGUCAGUCGUACCUCAAUAGAGUGGUCUAAAAAAUAAGUUUCAGUUCAUAGUGGUUCUUUGCAUUGGGGUUCUAGAGGUGGAACACAGAAUGGCCCUCCACCGUGCCCCUACCAUCCAUGUGUGUUUUAACGUCCUUUACAAACGUGGUCUCCACCCCAACCAUCCCACUUUCAGUGGCAUCCCCUUUGCCUCAGCCUCCUCCAGUCACCAAGCUUAGAAGAUGGCCUGGGAGAGGAGAGGUCAGUUUUGGGGGGCCUGAGGCAUCUCACCGGCCUGUGGCAGAGCGUCACGCUGUUGGCUAUGGUCCACCACGAGCAGGCCCUGGCAUCUCUGUCGCUGAGCCCAAACCGGUGAGCCAGGGACUCCCCAUCCUUCCGGGGGAAAUUCCAGGACCUCUGGCGUCCCCCAACAGCCUGCGCUCCAGAGAGAGGCAGACAAGAUCAAGAGAACAGGUUUUGCAGAGUUAGACAAAGACCUCUGCGGUUCAUAACGUCAGCGAGAAAAUUCCAAAACCCCGGGGCGAGCUGCGUUGUGGAUGCUCCUUUCGGCGACCUGCUUCUGAUUGGAGCUGACCGGGCCUCCCUGCCAAUCAGCAUGGGCGCUGCGAAGCCCGGAACUUUACAGCUUAGCAACGAGAAAUCUGGACGAACUCUGGAAGUAAUUUAAGGAAAGGGGAAGAAAAACACCAAGAAGGGAAUUAGUAGCCAAAUAAUCAGGCUGCAGACUUUUAUUAUUACCUUUGCGGCCAAGGCAAGUCAUGAACAUUUCCAGCAUUAAAUUACAAGCAGAGAGGAAACCAACCAGCUAUCUUGUCUCAAAUUCUGGGGCUCAUGUUUUGUUUCGUUUUUUCCCUGAGCUGGUACUAGAGCAGCAAUGUGAACAGAGCCAAGAAAUAGUGGACAGAACAGGUAUAAUAAAGAAAAAAACCUCUCAAUCCUGGCUGCCAUCUCUCCCUCCAGGAGCCUCUUGACCAGUCUUUUUCUGGAAUCAUCUUCUAUCACGUGACAUCAUGGAUACCAGCCUGUCUGAAAUGGGAACUGGGUGUCAGGGUGGCUAUAAAGGGUUUCUGUGAUUUCGGCUGGAGGCCGGGUCGGAGGUGACGGUGGCAUUGGUUGGUCCAUGGGAUGACUACUUAUGGAGCAUCAUUCAUGUGUCACUGCUGAGUCAGGGGCUGUAAAACAGAAAUGAGCAUCACAUAUUGGUCCUUGCCCCUGUGAGCUGACAGUUCAGCCAAAGAUAGGUACUGAGCGUCUACCGGGUGACAAGCACAGUUCUAGGUGCUGAGGAUACAGACAGCAGAGAAGAAAACAAAGAUGCCUGUCCACCUGGAGCUGACAUUUCAGUGAGAGAGAGACUCCGAAUCUCAGUGCAACAUUCAGCGUUCCGGCCUCGUUAAUUCACGUAAGACACCCCAUUUGGAGAAGUAUCAUUAAAGGCUAAUUUGGUGAGAUAUCCUUUUUUAGCAAAGCAAAUAGAAGCUGACAGUCAGCUCUCGGGUGCUAUCAUGGGGUGACGAUUCAGCAAAAGGCAAACAAUUUAUUUCACAACGUGACAAUCGCCCCUCGCCACGCUGGAAUUGUGGACUCCUGAAAAUUGUGCUGUUUCAUCGUGACCCAUAACAAAGAGAGAGAAUUCUGGAAGUCAAGAACUGUUUUUGCCAAGGAUUCGGGAGCACCAAUGUCAUCUGUGGGUACAUGUGCCAUGUCUUUUAAACACUGAAUCUUAUAUCAAGGGCUCUGUGUUCACAAGUUUCGCAGGUACAGCUGGCUU